rnacentral:rRNA from 1 species
UACGGGAGGCAGCAGUGGGGAAUAUUGCACAAUGGGCGAAAGCCUGAUGCAGCUAUGCCGCGUGUAUGAAGAAGGCCUUAGGGUUGUAAAGUACUUUCAUCGGGGAGGAAAAAACAAAACUAAUAAUUUUAUUUCUUGACGUUACCCGAAAAAGAAGCACCGGCUAACUCCGUGCCAGCAGCCGCGGUAAUACGGAGGGUGCUAGCGUUAAUCAGAAUUACUGGGCGUAAAGGGCACGCAGGCGGUUAAUUAAGUUGGAUGUGAAAUCCCCGGGCUUAACCUGGGAAUGGCAUUCAAGACUGGUUAGCUAGAGUCUUGUAGAGGGGGUAGAAUUCCAUGUGUAGCGGUGAAAUGCGUAGAGAUGUGGAGGAAUACCGGUGGCGAAGGCGGCCCCUGGACAAAGACUGACGCUCAUGUGCGAAAGCGUGGGGAGCAAACAGGGAUUAGAUACC